GUGUUGUUAUCUUUGGUUAUCUAGCUGUAUGAGUGUGCUGGCCGUCAUAAAGCUAGAUAACCGAAAGUAA
ensembl:miRNA mir9-2 microRNA 9-2